AGGACGAACGCUGGCGGCGUGCUUAACACAUGCAAGUCGAGCGGAAAGGCCCUUCGGGGUACUCGAGCGGCGAACGGGUGAGUAACACGUGAGCAACCUGCCCCUGGCUCUGGGAUAGCCUCCGGAAACGGGGAUUAAUACCGGAUAUUCACUGUCUCCUGCAUGGGGGGUGGUGGAAAGUUUUUCGGCUAGGGUGGGGCUCGCGGCCUAUCAGCUUGUUGGGGGGUGACGGCCCACCAAGGCGACGACGGGU
rnacentral:rRNA from 1 species